rnacentral:SRP_RNA from 2 species
GGGUCUUAUGCAAUGAAAAUCUGCGAACCGUGUCAGGUCGGGAACGAAGCAGCACUAAGCAGAACCUUUCAUGUGUUGUAAGG